rnacentral:rRNA from 1 species
CACGAACUUAGCCCGUGCUUCCUCCAGGGAUCGGUCAAGGUUUCCCCUUCCUCCCCCUCGACAGGAGUUUACAACCCGAAGGCCUUCGUCCUCCACGCGGCGUCGCUCGGUCAGGCUUUCGCCCAUUGCCGAAGAUUCUCGACUGCAGCCUCCCGUAGGAGUCUGGGCAGUGUCUCAGUCCCAGUGUGCCGGGCCACGCUCGCACGCCCGGUAGGCAUCACAGGCUUGGUGGGCCGUUACCCCGGCCAACUACCUAAUACCACGAAGGCCCGUCCCAGAGCGCCGGAGCUUUGGUCGCAAACCGAUGCCGGCUCGCGACGUCGCUGAGGAUUACCCGCGGUUUCCCGCGGCUAUACUCAACUCCAGGGUUGGUUACCCUCGCCUUACUCACCCUUCCGCCACUGAUUUGACCGAAGUCAAACCCGUUCGACUUGCAUGCCUAAUCCACGCCGCCAACGUUCAUUCUGAGCCAGGAUCAAACUC